GACAUGACCACUGCGGCUGUCAGGCACACCGCAGUGCAAAACUUUAACCCAGAGAAUGUCGUGGAUUUCGAUCCAAUUGUCCUCUACGACGUGUGGUGGAACGGCGAUGCGACAGAGUGCUGCACAUGGCUGAAACUGAAGAAAUGGUGCUGCACACGUCGAAAAGGCUCAGAAAUCUGUCCUUAGAAAAGGGCAAGAGCACCAAAGGAAUUAUAACUGCCAUGGCCUCUAUGGCACCUUUGUCACAGGAGCAUGCUGACAUGGACAUAUUCACUGGAGAGGCCAUCGAUGUUGUCAUCGGAUCCUCAAGAGAUGACGGAAAGGUGUAUGCUGGAUCCGGGCAAUGAAUAGAAAAGGCUGCUUGGGGGACAUUGUUGCGGUCUACGUCUGACUAUGUUCUGCCGUAUGGCGUCCACAACGUAUUGGAUGCCAGAUGAGCUUAAGAACAGAAGCGUGACCGGGACUUUGUCCAACAAGUCGCGAUCCAAGGGAAGGACUGAGGCCAGACCAGCCGUGACACCACAAAAGUUGUCAUCCUUGAAAAGUAUAUGAACAUACUGUUCUAAUGAACUGAUCUACUCAUGUAUAGAUGGCACAUGCAAAUAGCCACAGUAAAAGCGAAGCUAGUGCUAAAGCACUGUGUUGCGAUCAUCUGCUACUGAAAUAUUUCAUGUUAAAACUGUAGAAAGAAUUUGAGGCAUGUGAGUUAACAUGAAAAAAGUAAUCUGCAGUUUGGUUAUUGAAAAUGCAGCUUUGCAAAAAUAUUUCAUUGAACCGUGGGCAUAUUGUUGGGAACUUGCACUGUGCAUGCUGGAAAUUAUUGUUUAGAUGC